rnacentral:rRNA from 1 species
UACGUGGGGGGCAAGCGUUGUUCGGAAUUACUGGGCGUAAAGGGCUCGUAGGCGGCCAACUAAGUCAGACGUGAAAUCCCUCAGCUUAACUGGGGAACUGCGUCUGAUACUGGAUGGCUUGGAUUCGGGAGAGGAAUGCGGAAUUCCAGGUGUAGCGGUGAAAUGCGUAGAUAUCUGGAGGAACACCGGUGGCGAAGGCGGCAUUCUGGACCGACAUUGACGCUGAGGAGCGAAAGCCAGGGGAGCAAACGGG